rnacentral:rRNA from 1 species
GACGAACGCUGGCGGCGUGCUUAACACAUGCAAGUCGAACGGAAAGGCCCUGCUUUUGUGGGGUGCUCGAGUGGCGAACGGGUGAGUAACACGUGAGUAACCUGCCCUUUACUUUGGGAUAACUUCAGGAAACUGGGGCUAAUACCGGAUAGGAUCUCCUGCUGCAUGGUGGGGGUUGGAAAGUUUCGGCGGUUGGGGAUGGACUCGCGGCUUAUCAGCUUGGUGGUGGGGUAGUGGCUUACCAAGGCUCUGACGGGUAGCCGGCCUGAGAGGGUGACCGGCCACAUUGGGACUGAGAUACGGCCCAGACUCCUACGGGAGGCAGCAGUGGGGAAUGUUGCACAAUGGGCGGAAGCCUGAUGCAGCAACGCCGCGGGCGGGAUGACGGCCUACGGGUUGUAAACCGCUUUCGCCUGUGACGAAGCGUGAGUGACGGUAAUGCGUAAAGAAGCACCGGCUAACUACGUG